UGAAACUGGAGCUGCCUCCAUAUAAACAGGGCAGUUCUGCUGCUGGAGGUUAGGCAACAGCAUUGCUUGGCUGCAGGGCUGAAGGGCUCUACUCUGCAUGACUCCUAAACAGCUAAGGAAUGAAUUCUCUUCAAAGUCUCUCAGAAUUCAUGUGCAAGAGACAAAACUUUGGCAUUCUGGAGCCCAUCUAUCUACUGUUAAAGCUCUCCAAACUGCUGUUGCAUGUGUAGUCUGCAGUGGGGUAAAAAACAACAGUGGUGCAAAAACACUGAAGGAGUAUGAGCCACUUCAGAGAUGAGCCAGCUGUGCUGAGCCCCUAAAAAUUUUCUAAUGAAGAUGUGGACCCCUUUGGCAAUUUCAAAUGGAAGCGCAGACCCCUUUGAAUUGAAAAUAACCUGUGACUUGCAUUUGGUGUUGAUGAUGGCCUUCCAGAGAAGACAACAUGCAUCUGAGAACAGGAUUAGACCCAGUAAAUGUAUCUGAUUCUGCCAAAUGGUUUCUGUCUUCAGCAGUGAAAUUUCAAGAGAGCUGAACCAUUGCAUAGAUACUUCUGUCACCUAGCACUCUACUCUUAGAAAAAUUCAAAAGCUACAGAACUUAUUCAGAAUGUUUUUUUUCAAAGUGAGCAUCAGUCUAUCUCAUAACAAGGUCAGACUUUUUAUUACUCAAAGAACAAAUUUUUAAAGACACCCAAUUUGACAUGAAAGAGAAUUGGUUCUUUACACAGCCUGCACUAGUACUUCAAAGUCCAAAAAAAGAUUAGUGUUCCUGAUGCUAUGAAUCAUUUAAAAAUAUUCCUGAACUUAUUUAUUCACCUUUAGAGGAACUUGUCUAAACAAUCAGAUAGCUUCAGGAGGUCUCCUGGGACCCAGAGGUUUUUAAAUACAUUAAGAACCUGAAAACAUGUAGGGGGUACACGUGAAUGCACAUGCACCCGCUGAGAUUGGCUGCCACCACCACUGCCAGCAGUGUCUGGGGGCGGUCACUGCUUGCCACCCCCUCCCCCUGCUGACGCUGCCAACCGUGUCUGUGGGCAGUCGCCAAUCGCCACUUGGUGCUUACCACCCCACCACCAACACUGCUGCGGCCGACUGCAGUCAAUCCCCUCUUGCCACCGCUAUGCCCCCACCACUGACACUGCUGCCACUGCCUGUGGGCAGUCACUGUGCCCCCUCAGCCUCAGGAGGCACAAGGCGUUCAUGCUGAAAACUGUAGUUUUGUUGUGAAUUAUGGGUCCUUGCUAUUGGGGGAAAAAAAUCAUUAAGUGUUUUUUGCAUACAGAGAGUGAUAUUCAAAGAGUCUGGUGGCUUGGAAGGAUUUUUGAGGUAGAUAGGGCCAUAAGUUGCAAGUAGUUGGCAUUGGGCUUUUUAAUUUGUAAAUCAGAAGGCAUAAAGCUGAAAUAAUAUAAUCAAAAAACAAAAAAUAGAAGCAAAAAAAGAAAAAAAGCUCUAAUGUUUUCCUGGCUGCAUUAGGAUCGUGAAAUACCAUGCAAACAGAUACUUUUCUUAAAAGUAUAUUGAUAUUUCCAUCUACUGACACACUAGUGAUAUGUGACUAUUUCUCUUUCCAGUUGCUUGGUGUUCUGAAUGAAUCGAUCCCAAAGUAUUGAACAAGUGUCACUAACAUUAACUUUGAGCAAAAAAACCCACCUUCUACAGCAUGUAUAGGCCACUUUUCUCCAUUCUAAUUACUGUUCACCACACUGAAUACUGAUUCCACUGGAUUGUUUAUUCUUGGUAAACACAGAGCUAAUGCUACUCAAUGAAGCAAUAUACUUGGAACUGUUUUAUAAUUAUGCAAAAAAAUUAUUGAUGAAAUAAAUAACCAAAAAUAAAUUUUGCAAAUGUCUUACAAAAAAGAAAUGUCUUAGGGAAAAUGCAAGAAAGAGCCAUUUAGAUGAUCAUAGCAUGGCUAAAACAGUGAUGGUAAAAGACCAGCUUUGCAACUUCCAUGCCCAACUCAGCAACAGGGCAUGUACAAUGAGUUUUUAAUACUGUUCGUAAUGACUGCUCUAAUAGUUUUACUUAGUUUUGGUAUGCCUGGUAUAAAAAUGUAUAAAGUCUGUUUAGUAGUUGUAUUUUUGAUGGUGAAGGACAGUUUACCAUACAAGUAAAAUUUAUUAUUUUCCAAUUACUUAUUGUUUAUUGCAAUGACUGGUAUAAAAUUG